AUGGCCGAUCCAGCCGAGGAGACCGUCGCCGCGCCCCCGCCGACCCCGGCAGCUCCCGCCGAGGGCGCCCCGCCGCUGUCGGCGGAGCCGCCGGCUAGCACCGACGCCUCGCCGGAGAAGGCGGCCCCGCCUGCGCCUGCGCCGGACACGACGGUGAGGUCCCGGGGGUUCAGGCUGCUCGGCGAGGACACCUCCGUGCACAAGGUGCUCGGUGGCGGUAAAACUGCUGAUGUACUGUUAUGGAAGGACAAGAAAACAACUGCUGUAGUGAUCGGUGGCACAACUGUCAUAUGGGUUUUAUUUGAAGUGCUUGAUUACCAUCUCUUAACUCUGCUAUCCCAUGUGAUGAUUGGUGUCCUGGCCAUCUUGUUCGUGUGGUCGAAAGCUAUGACCUUCAUCAAGAAGAGUCCGCCAGAUAUUCCUGUAGUCGAGAUACCUGAAGACCUCGCUGUGAAUGUAUCACGGGCACUACGCAGCGAUGUCAACAGAUCACUUCACUUGUUGCGCGAGAUUGCAAUGGGGCAUGAUCUGAAGAAAUUCCUUGGUGUGAUUGCUGGUCUCUGGGUUCUGUCAGAAGUUGGAAGCUGCUGUGAUUUCCUCACCUUGAUAUAUAUUGCUGUCCUGAUGAUCCACACGGUGCCGAUCUUGUACGACAAGUACCAGGACAAGGUGGAUCACUUCGCCGGAAAGGCCCAUACCGAGGCGUGCAAGCACUACGAGGUGCUGGACCAGAAGGUUCUGAGCAAGAUACCCCGAGGACCGGCGAAAACCAAGAAGACCUAG
rnacentral:rRNA from 1 species